GGGGGGGGGGGGGGGGGGGGGGGGGGGGGGGGGGGCGGGCGGGCGGGCGAGGAGCUGGCUCCUCUGACGGUGGCGGCGGCCGGGUGAGUAACACGUGGAUAACCUACCUAUAAGACUGGGAUAACUUCGGGAAACCGGAGCUAAUACCGGAUAAUAUAUUGAACCGCAUGGUUCAAUAGUGAAAGACGGUUUUGCUGUCACUUAUAGAUGGAUCCGCGCCGCAUUAGCUAGUUGGUAAGGUAACGGCUUACCAAGGCAACGAUGCGUAGCCGACCUGAGAGGGUGAUCGGCCACACUGGAACUGAGACACGGUCCAGACUCCUACGGGAGGCAGCAGUAGGGAAUCUUCCGCAAUGGGCGAAAGCCUGACGGAGCAACGCCGCGUGAGUGAUGAAGGUCUUCGGAUCGUAAAACUCUGUUAUUAGGGAAGAACAAAUGUGUAAGUAACUAUGCACGUCUUGACGGUACCUAAUCAGAAAGCCACGGCUAACUACGUG
rnacentral:rRNA from 1 species